rnacentral:pre_miRNA from 1 species
CCCAUACCCAUGUGUGUAGGCCAAAGGAUCACCAUUAAAUUUGACACAGAUCUCUAGAAAAGUUAUCACAUGGGUGUGAGACUUGACUUUUCUAGAGAUCUAUACCAAAUUUAAUCGUGAUCCUUUGGGGUCCUACACACAUGGGUGUGGG